GGUACUUUGAUUCAGAAUCAUUUGAGGUUAAGGUUUUGGACAAUUUGAGGGUUGAACUUCGAGCUCAUUUUUCUCCCGAUCCAUCUUGGGAGCAACUUUGGUAUAUAAGUUUCGGAGCCAAUGUUGUAUACAAGCAUGAAAGUAAAAGAGAAAGAAAAAGAAAAGAAAAAUGUAUACAGGCAUGAAAGAAGAGCACAUGACAUAAGAGAAAUGAAGUGAAUUAAAUGAUGGCCAAGUGGAAUUUCAGGUAACGAAUAAAUUUGGAUGCUAUUAUAAAGCAAGGGUGUGGUACUCCCGGUGAUAGUGCUUUUUAGCGGAUGCCAUAUUAUAGGAGUUGGGGAGCCAAUAUUGUAUACAAGCACGAAAGCAAAGCACAGAAAAGAUGAAAAAUGGAUUGAAUUAAAUGAUAGGCCAAGUGGCCUGUUGCUACUAUUUCUUUGGAAUUUCAGCAUGAUUUUUCAGUCCAUCCAAAUCAAAGGACAGAGAAGAAACUGAAGAAAGUGAAAAUGGAGUGUUUGAUGAAAUGUCCCAGUUAACUUGAGAGCACCAAGAAUCUUCAUUUGCAUUGUACAAGAAUUUUGGACUAACAGUCGAGGUAAUGAGCAGCGGAUUACCCACCUUUGCAACAGAUUGGGGAGGCCCAGCAGAAAUUAUUGUUGAUGGAAUCUCAGCAUUUCACAUUGACCUCUAUAAUGGUGAUGAAUUGAGCCGUAAGAUUGUUGAUUUCUUUGAAAUGUGCAAGGCGGAUCCUGAAAAUUUGAACAAGAUCUCAAAAGCUAGUCUCUGGCCUAUAAAUAAAUCCUACACAUGGAAGAUUUAUGCAAACAAGCUGCUGAACAUGGAUGAACCAUAUUUGGAUAAUGAUGAUGUAACGAAUAAAGCCAGAGGCCAAUAUAAUAUUGGUGGGGCGCUCUGAUUUAGAAUCGUUUGAGCAGCUGAAGGUUUCGGAUAAUUUGAUGGUUCAACUUCAUAUUCUUCUCUAUAAUGGUGAUCAUUUGUGGGUACCAUUUUAUAUAAGAUGGGGAGCCAAGAUUCUAUACAAGCAUGGAAGCAGAGCAGAUAAAAGAAGAAAAAUGGAUUGAAUUAAAUGAUAGGCCAAGUGGCCUGUUGCUACUAUUUCUUUGAAAUUUCAGGGCCUUCCAUUCACUGCUAUUGGUGUUGGGCUCAGCACAUUUGACAAAGCAUCUUCUAAUUUGACCCAUCAGAGCACAGUCUAGUGGUCAAAUCGAGGGUAGGCUUGGGAUGAGUUGU